GCUUCAAAUUGUUGACAAGUUAAAUCAGGGCCUUCGGGAUCAGAAACUUGAUCAGGGUUUUGCAAAUGACAUACUUGAAGAAAUAGCUCGGGCAGUUGGGGUUCCUGUAGAACCUUCAGAAAUAAGCAAAGAACUGGCAAGCUUUAGAAAGGAAAAAGAAGAAGCUGCCAGCCGAAAAGAAAGGGCUGAAGUUCUCUUCUUAGAGCAGGUUAUUGAGCUGCUUUCUCGAGCUGAUGCUGCUAGAGAUUAUGAAGAAGUCAAGAAGCAGUAUUUUCAGAGGGUUCAGGUUAUAGAGCGGUACGAUGAGAGGGAGGAAUAUAUAGAUCCUCUUUCUCCUUUCCUUUGUCGUAUAAAUGGGACUGUGAUGAAUGAUCCUGUUAGCCUUUGCACUGGUACUACAUGUGAGAGAGCUGCCAUUGAAGCUUGGUUUGACCGUGGAGAGAGAACUGACCCAGAAACUGGUCAGAUUCUUGAGGACAUAACUUUGAGGUCAAACCUUCCCCUUAGACAAUCAAUAGAGGAAUGGAGAGAACUGAAUUAUUGCCUUAGAGUAAGAGCUUGUAAGGCAAAGUUGUUAUCACAUGUGGACUCCUCUGUGGAAGAUGCCUUGAGCCAAAUGCAGGAUCUGAUGAGAGAAAACUCUAUAAACAAGGAUUGGGUGUCUAUUGGAGGCCUUACAGAUAUUAUCAUAUCUAUCCUUGGGAGCUCUCACAACAAAGAUGUAAAGAGGAAGAUUUUAGUUACUUUAAAAGAUAUAGCCGAAGGGCAUGCAAAGAAUAAGGAAAAAUUGAUCAACCAUGAGGGGUGGGAUCACAUUAUUCCCUGCUUAGUGCGUGACUCGAGCAUCUCCAAGGCUGCAGUGGAAUUGCUAUUUGAGUUGCUGCAAGAGAGGUCUGGUUGGAAUGUUUCUGUUUGCAGGAAACUUUCACAACAGAGCAGUGCAAUUCUUUUCCUUGUCACCCUCUUGACUAGUCCUGUCAGGGAAUCUUCAGUUUAUGCAGAAAAAAUCUUGAAUAAACUUUUUGAAGUUGAUGAGGAGAAUAUACCCCGUGCCGCAAAGUCAGGCUGGUAUAAGCCACUUGUUGAUCGGAUUGUACAAGGGCCGGAGUCUUCAAGGAUAUCGAUGGUCAGAGCUGUAGUUAAUAUGGAAUUGGUUGAUUCAAAUUUAAAGCUACUUGGUGAGGAAGGGAUAAUACCUCCUUUGCUUGAAAUGGUGGGAUCUGGCAAUAUCGAAUCAAAGGAGUUGUCCUUGUCUGCCUUGAUUAAGCUGUCUGAUUGCAAUUUCAAUAAAGAGCUUAUUGCUGCUGCUGGUGGGCUUUCUCUUGUUUUAAACCUCAUGUUCUCUUCCCAUAUACGAACAAUUAUUAUUACUAAAUGUGCUGAAAUCCUAGAGAGAAUUUCCUCUUCUGAUGAUGGAAUUAAGUACUUUGUUGAUGAAAAUGGAACCCAGCUCAACUUAGAACCAAUUAUCAAGAAUUUGUUAGGUUUGCAACAGGUCCCAAGCUUAUCCCAUAGCGUUCGAAGGCCUGCCUUGCGUGCACUUAUCGGGAUAUGCAAAUUUGAUGCAGCAUUGGUUAAGACUGCAGUUCUUACUGCCAAUGGUGUAUCGUUAAUACUUCCUUUUCUUGAUGACACAGACUCACAAAUUCGUGAAACUGCAAUUACUAUUCUUUUCCUCUUCUCCCAUCAUGAAUCACAGGGAGUGGUGGAACACCUGCUUAAACCAAAAAGGCUUGAGGCUUUGGUGGGGUUUCUUGAGAAUGAUGAUAAGGGUGAUGUGCAGAAGGCUGCUGCUGGUUUAUUAGCCAAUCUUCCCAAAUCUGAAGUAACACUGACUAUGAGGCUAAUUGAGCUGGAUGGGGUCAAUGCGCUCAUAAAUAUUAUCAGAACAGGGGACAUGGAAGCCAAGGAAAAUGCUCUAAGUGCACUGUUCAGGUUUACGGAUCCCACAAAUCUUGAGUCACAACAUAUUGUGGUUGAACAAGGAGCUUACCCUUUGCUUGUAAACUUACUGAGAACUGGUUCUGUAACUGCAAAGGCCAGAGCAGCAGCACUUAUUGGUGAUCUUUCCAAGAGCAGUCCGAAGCUUGUUAUUGUGUCCAAUCCAACUGGCUGCUGGUGUUUUCGGCCAACACGCCCUAAGUUAUGCCCAGCACAUGCAGGCAUCUGUAGUGUAAAAACUACAUUUUGUCUCCUGGAGGCAAAUGCUUUGCCUUUCUUGGUAGAACUCUUGCAGGGAGAGGUUCCUGCAACUGCUCAUGAAGCAAUCCAGACACUCUCCACACUGGUUCUGGAAGGGUCUCCUAACAGAGGAGCCAAUGUGUUGCAUGAGGCUGAUGCCAUAAAGCCUGUGAUAGAGAUUUUAGGCCGGGGAACAGAUUCUCUAAAAGAAGAGGCUUUGAAACUCUUGGAGAAGGUCUUUUUGUCAAGGGAUAUGGUGGAACACUAUAAAUCAACAACUAGGUUUCAUCUUGUUAGCCUGACAGGGAGGAAUGUUCACGAGGAUAGCCGAAUUGGGAGGAAGGCUGCAAGAGUUUUAUCACUCCUUGAACGCUAUUCAAAAUCAUCAUCUCUUCUGCCAGGAAUAUUUGGUUGAAUAGAUCUGUAGUCAGGCCUAUCUCUGUUCUUCAGGAGUCAGGAAUUCUUUGCACAUGAAUACUUACAAUAUUAAUUUACUUGAUGUUUUGGUCAUCUUACUCGAGUCAGGAUCUCAUGCUGCAAUAGUGUCAUGGUAUUUUGUGUGUGACUAUUUUUUCCACCCUAUUUUUCAUAGAUGAGUCUGUACAGAAACAUUUAAAGUCAACUAUUGGCUGCACUUAGACAUCUCAAUGAUAUUUAUUUAUUUAUUAAGACCAUUUCCA
rnacentral:misc_RNA from 1 species